ACCUCCUCCCUAUGCAGCGGGGCGCGCUCACGUGCGAGGACAUCGCGGCGCGGCGCGGCAAGGAUCUCCACUCCCCGGAGCGGCGCAGCGAGGAUCUCCACCCCCUAGAGCGGCGCGGCGAGGAUCUCCCUCCAUAGCGACGGGUGGGACGAGGAGCGAAUGAGUCGGCUCGUUUGCGGCGGUGGGCGGGACAAGGAGCGGAUGCGGCGGCGUGUGGGGAAAGGAGCGGCACAUGAAUCCGCGAGGCUGCAGCGGGGGAUGGCGAUGCGGCGGUGCGCAGGGUAGUUUCGGCUCAUCGUUAUCACCGCCGGUCAUGAAAGGAGCUUAACAGUCAUGCAAGUAUGAAGAUAACGGGCAUUUGUGAUAAUAUGUUGGUUGAUCUUUUUCUAUGAUCCUGCGCAGCAUAAUGAAUCAUGAAUGUUCGAUUUUGCUUGUGAUGUACUUUUGGAUUCAGGCAAAUGUGUUUCUAUAAAUAGCCUAUUACAAACCAAAUUGCUAGGUUUACCAUCAUUUGUAGUUCUAAAUAAUGUGUUGUGCACCUAAUCAUGUAAAUAUCCAUCUAUUUUUUAUGAUUCUGGAUCAUCCGUGGUA